CAUCUUGGGGCGACGGCCAGAAGUCCAGGGCUAGGAGCCUCAGCCGGCGGACGCCAGGAAACAGCAGUUACUGAUGCUACAAUAUUCCUUUAUGAAGCCAAGAACUGAACCAAAAUACAAACAACAUAAACUACCACUUGAUGAGAAGAACUUCAAAGUCAAAUUGCAAAAGGUGACUAAAAAAGGGGAGUACUUUCAGCCGUUUUCAAAAUAAUCUAUGAUAUGUACUGGAAAACUUCUAAUAAUCCUUGUCAUUUUACAACUUUCCCACAGUUAGAUCAUCAGCAAAUGUCACUUGGAUCCCUAGCUAAAUUGUUCUUCCCAGAAAAUAGUUAUCUCCACUAUGGAAAGUAUUUUAUCAGAAGAAUUCGUAGAAGUAGAAUCUGUUUGUCUUCAGUUAAACAAAAGAAGAACCUCAUUGCUUUCCAACUGGGCCCCGGCCAUUUUCCAGUUGAAACAUCAAAUAUUUUAUUUGUGUCUUUCACUGCCAAUUAAAGGGCAACAGAAAUGGUACAGGCUCCCUCUGCAGUGGAAUUACCCUUAUGUCUUUUCUGUCUAUGCUGAUCCACCUGAUCUUGAACUGGUGCUAUUCCAUGGGGAAAAUUGGAACAUGGGGCAAUUAACACUUUCUCCACUUUAUCCCAUCAACAGGAAAUUGAAAUAUAACCAACUAACUCAGGAGACAUCAUGGAAGAUGUCACACAGUGAAUGAUGAUGAAGCAGAAUUUUUAAAAUGUGUAGGAUUACGAGAAGUGGGGUCAUUUUUCUUUGUGUAUGGUAUUGCUGAUGCAGUUUAAUGCUCCAUUACUUCUAAAUUUUCAUCAUAAGCUAGAUUUUCCAGUUGUGGUUUCUAUAAAGAAAAACAAACAUUCUGAAGACAGUUUUUCCAGAUUUAUUCCAGAUAUCGAUGAUUAACUUUUGAAGCUCCUCUGUUGAUUUGAACAUCCGCUGAAGCUUAUUUUUCACCUCAGAAUAGCAUCAACAUUAUUUGAAAUUCAAUUGUACUUUCUCGUUACAUUAAUAAAUCAUGGAAGUUGAGAA